AGGCCUUGAGUCAUUAAUCAGAACUGGAAGCCCAAACCUAUCUCCAAAAGAAGACUGGAUCGGGACUCUUGAAUAAUUACCAAGGAAUAGCUCAGGUUUUGCAUUGCCGGAGCUCUCUGUGGUAGGCCUCGUCCCUGCCUCAGAUGAAAGGACAAAUCAGAAGGUACCUAUUACACGUCUGUGAGGAGAGAAACAAAGGCGCACAAUGCUGACACCCUCCUACUAACUUGGAUUUUAAUGGAGCCUGUUUGUCAACUGGCAGAAAAAAAUUGGAUAGAAGAAGCACCCUCUACUGCUGGACCGGACGGGGCAGAAAAAUAUGUCACUUGCAAACUGAAGUGUCUCUGGGCAUAAAUGUAACAGUCACUUAAGCUCAAUCAAUUAGAGCACCUGUCUCAGUACUGUUUAUCUGGAGGUCAAAUUUGAAAAGGCAGCAGCUGGCAAAAAAAAAAUGUUCAUGGACAAAUGUGUAUAAUUUUUUUAACCUCCUCCCCCCCAUUUUUUUUUUCUUGUAGCCAAUACUUGACUGAAUUAUGAGGCUUAGGACCAUCAAUUUCUCAGUUGCUUGAGAUGUAGAAAACCAGAAUGGAGUUCAAGUUAUAAUUGGUUUGUCCCUCCUCUCCUUAUGAUCUAAAUUUUAGCACGGUUAUUUUGUUUGAGUUAUUUGCCAUGUGUUACUUUAAUCUCCCUGUGGUGUGUCAGUUUUGCACCCUUCUUAUUCAGUCAAAAUGUUUCCACUAAACUGGUGAGCAUAA